UUUUUUGAAGUGCUCUAUUUAUUCAAGUUGAACUUCUUGGUUUAUUCAUUGGUAACGAUGGAAAUCAUAGUUUUUUAAUAACAUUUGAGCUACUCCGUUAUUUAAAUUUGACUCCUGGGUUUUUUUAGAAACGAGGAAAUUUUGUUUUCUUUGUUAAAAAAUUGAACUAUUCAGUUAUUUCAUUUUGACCUUCUUGGGGUUUUAAGAAUUUGGAAAAAAUAUAUCUUUGUUACAACAUCAAACACCUUUCUUAUUUUAAUUUUUGUUUAAAAAAUACCAACAACACAUGGCUCACUACAUUUUUUUAUUUGCACUAGUUUUACUAUACGUGAACUUGUCCUUAUUUUAUAUUUGAACUUCUCACAUGAAACUAAUAUUUUCGUUGUACAAAGUAUGUGUUGCCAGCUACAUUGGCAAGACACAAAUGCAUAAUUUUGUGUAGAAAACAUUGGAUCCCAAAGCAAUCUGUAUCUCUCAAAAGAAUGUGUCAUUAACCUUUUUUUCUCACACAAAAUGUCUCCGAAGUACAUAGACAGAAAUGAAACAUCAACGAUUUCCACAAUUUGUAUUUCUCUCUCUCCAUGAAACACAAGCCUCGAUAGAAGCACACAAGAAGAAUUAGCACUUCAGAGCGGUGAUGCAUUUUGGAGAAGAAAACUCCUUUUUCCCAUUCAUUUUUUGAGGGACCCAUGAAACUGAAGCAACUUUUUUGCACCAACAGAUACUACUGAACUUCAGACAAAAAGUCAUUUUGAAACAAUACAUGGUCAUAACAGCAGCAGGGAAGCGAGAUUUCUACUACAGGAGCAAAUACAAAGCAGUAGCGAUCUGAUCAUUUGUGUUCAAACUUAGUUGGGUUCACAACAUGAACUUCAAAAAAAUCUACACAUCAUACAUCACAGCACGCC
rnacentral:lncRNA from 1 species